UAAUACGGAGGGUGCGAGCGUUGUCCGGAAUCACUGGGCGUAAAGGGCGCGUAGGCGGUGGGGUAAGCGUGUGGUGAAAGUCCGGGGCUCAACCCCGGAUCGGCCGUGCGAACUGCUUCACUUGAGCACUGUAGAGGCAGGUGGAAUUCCGGGUGUAGCGGUGGAAUGCGUAGAGAUCCGGAAGAACACCGGUGGCGAAGGCGGCCUGCUGGGCAGUGGCUGACGCUGAGGCGCGACAGCGUGGGGAGCAAACAGGAUUAGAUACCCUGGUAGUCCACGCCGUAAACGAUGGGCACUAGGUGCUUGGGGGAGCGACCCUCCGAGUGCCGGCGCUAACGCAUUAAGUGCCCCGCCUGGGGAGUACGACCGCAAGGUUG
rnacentral:rRNA from 1 species